ensembl:snRNA U2 U2 spliceosomal RNA
AUUGCUUCUCGGCCUUUUGGCUAAGAUCAAGUGUAGGAAUUCAGUCAUCAGUUCCUGAAACACUACUUUAAAAAGAGAGUAAAAUUCUGGGUGUUUUAAAAAUUACUUCCCAAAUAGAUUACUUCUUACAGGCAAAUGUAUUUAUCUUUC